rnacentral:rRNA from 1 species
CAUGCAUGUCUAAGUAUAAGCACUUGUACUGUGAAACUGCGAAUGGCUCAUUAAAUCAGUUAUCGUUUAUUUGAUUGUACCUUACUACAUGGAUACCUGUGGUAAUUCUAGAGCUAAUACAUGCGAAAAGUCCCAACUUCUGGAAGGGAUGUAUUUAUUAGAUUAAAAACCAAUGCAAGUCUUCGGGCUCGUUUUCUUGGUGAUUCAUGAUAACUUUUCGAAUCGCAUGGCCUAGAGCCGGCGAUACUUCAUUCAAAUUUCUGCCCUAUCAACUGUCGAUGGUAAGGUAGUGGCUUACCAUGGUUAUAACGGGUGACGGAGAAUUAGGGUUCGAUUCCGGAGAGGGAGCCUGAGAAACGGCUACCACAUCUAAGGAAGGCAGCAGGCUCGAAAAUUACCCAAUCCCGACUCGGGGAGGUAGUGACAAGAAAUAACGAUACGGGGUCUUAAUAGGUCUCGCAAUUGGAAUGAGUACAAUUUAAAUCCUUUAACGAGGAUCAAUUGGAGGGCAAGUCUGGUGCCAGCAGCCGCGGUAAUUCCAGCUCCAAUAGCGUAUAUUAAAGUUGUUGCAGUUAAAAAGCUCGUAGUUGGAUUUCGGAGUGGGCCAGUUGGUCCGCCGCAAGGUGUGUUACUGACUGGUUUGCUCUUCUUCGCAAAGACUGCGUGUGCUCUUGAGUGAGUGUGCGUAGAAUUUACGACGUUUACUUUGAAAAAAUUAGAGUGUUCAAAGCAGGCUAUUGCUUGAAUACAUGAGCAUGGAAUAAUGGAAUAGGACUUUGGUCCCAUUUUGUUGGUUUCUAGGGCCGAAGUAAUGAUUAAGAGGGACAAUUGGGGGCAUCCGUAUUUCGUUGUCAGAGGUGAAAUUCUUGGAUUUACGAAAGACGAACAACUGCGAAAGCACUUGCCAAGAGUGUUUUCAUUAAUCAGAACGAAAGUUAGAGGAUCGAGACGAUCAGAUACCGUCCUAGUUCUAACCAUAAACGAUGUCGACUAGGGAUCAGCGGGCGUUAUCGUACGACCCCGU